AGAGAUAAGAAUUUUCACCACAGAAAUCUUUUGCAACAACAUAGUACAUGAAUCCUAUUUCUCUCUUCAUCUUUUGAUAAAAGUAACAUAGUACAUAGAUCUUAUACCUAACAGUUUAGAAGCCUUUGAUUCUGAGGUAGAGGACUUGGACACUUUAGGCGAGUAACUCACGAGUGGCAUGUUGGUUAGAUCCACUUUAAAAUGAUCACUAGAGAGAGGACUUUGACACUUUAGGCGAGUAACUCACUAGUGGCAUGUUGGUGAUAUCCACUUUAACAUGAUCGUUAGAAUCUUUAGUCUUGACUUCCACUGCAACCCGUGGUUUACUCGAGUAAUGCUCCUGACCUUCCGAAUCAGAAGUGUUACCACUUGAAUCACAUUCCAAAUUUUCAUCUUGAUUAACUUUGGUAAUUCCUUUAAGACAAGAGGGGUUGCUCUGAUGGUAAGCAACCCUCACUUCCAACCGACAGGUUGUGAGUUCGAGUCUCCCCAAGAGCAAGGUGGGAACUUCUUGGAGGGAAGGAUGUCAGGGGUCUAUUUGGAAACAGUUCCAACCGAGAGGUUGUGAGUUCGAGCCUCCCCAAGAGAAAGGGGGGAAAUUCUUGGAGGAAAGGAUGACGGGGGUCUAUUUGGAAACAGCCUCUCUACCCAAGGGUAGGGGUAAGGUGUGCAUACACACUACCCUCCCCAGACCCCAUUAAGUGAGAUUAUACUGGGUUGUUGUUGUUGUUGUUGUAACUUCGGUAAUUCCAAGAAUCGAGUUCUGAAAGCUGAUGAGCUUGUUGAC
rnacentral:lncRNA from 1 species